rnacentral:rRNA from 1 species
UACGUAGGGUGCGAGCGUUGUCCGGAAUUACUGGGCGUAAAGAGCUCGUAGGUGGUUUGUCACGUCGUCUGUGAAAUUCCGGGGCUUAACCUCGGGCGUGCAGGCGAUACGGGCAAUACUUGAGUGCUGCAGGGGAGACUGGAAUUCCUGGUGUAGCGGUGAAAUGCGCAGAUAUCAGGAGGAACACCAAUGGCGAAGGCAGGUCUCUGGGCAGUUACUGACGCUGAGGAGCGAAAGCAUGGGUAGCGAACAGGAUUA